rnacentral:rRNA from 1 species
GAGUUUGAUCGUGGCUCAGGACGAACGCUGGCGGCGUGCCUAAUACAUGCAAGUCGAGCGAGGGUUUUUAAGACCCUAGCGGCGGACGGGUGAGUAACACGUAGGCAACCUGCCUCUCAGACCGGGAUAACAUAGGGAAACUUAUGGCUAAUACCGGAUAGGUUUUUGGAUUGCAUGAUCCGAAAAGAAAAGAUGGCUUUUUGCUAUCACUGGGAGAUGGGCCUGCGGCGCAUUAGCUAGUUGGUGGGUAACGGCCUACCAAGGCGACGAUGCGUAGCCGACCUGAGAGGGUGACCGGCCACACUGGGACUGAGGACACGGCCAGACUCCUACGGGAGGCAGCAGUAGGGAAUUUCCC